rnacentral:rRNA from 1 species
AGCGAACGCUGGCGGCAGGCCUAACACAUGCAAGUCGAACGAACCUUUCGGGGUUAGUGGCGGACGGGGGAGUAACACGUGGGAACGUGCCUUUAGGUUCGGAAUAAUUCAGGGAAACUUGUGCUAAUACCGAAUGUGCCCUUCGGGGGAAAGAUUUAUCGCCUUUAGAGCGGCCCGCGUCUGAUUAGCUAGUUGGUUGAGGUAAUGGCUCACCAAGGCGACGAUCAGUAGCUGGUCUGAGGGGAUGAUCAGCCACAUUGGGAAUGAGACACGGACCAAACUCCUACGGGAGGCAGCAGUGGGGAAUCUUGCGCAAUGGGCGAAAGCCUGACGCAGCCAUGCCGCGUGAAUGAUGAAGGUCUUAGGAUUGUAAAAUUCUUUCACCGGGGACGAUAAUGACGGUACCCGGAGAAGAAGCCCCGGCUAACUUCGUG